UGGUUCUCACUGUAAGCAGCUUUGGCCCUCCUUAGUCCCCCUACCCCCGAGCCCAGGGAAUUUGGCAAUGUCCAGAGACAUUUUUGCUUGUCACAACCGGAGAGGGGAGAUGCUACUCGCAUCUAGUAGGUAGCUGCUAAACAUCCUGCAGUGCAUGGGACAGCCCCUGCAGCAAAGGAGUAUCCAGUCCAAAAUAUCAGCAGAACUGAGGUUGAGAAACUCUGCUCCAUGCUAAGGACUGCAUUAGGGGCUAUGGGAAUAGCAAUCCCAGUAAACAGUGUCUCCAAACCUAAAAUCUUCCACUCAGCUGUUCCAGAUAGCAAAAUCAAAAAACAAACAAAUACCAACCAGUUAUAAGGUUUAGGAUCUGUUCUUAAUGAAUCUGUUAUAAUCUGGGAUGCUUCUGUCACCGAAAGUUAGACACUCCUGUGUUCACCAAGAGCAGGCACCCUGCAGAUGGUCAGGGA
rnacentral:lncRNA from 1 species